rnacentral:sRNA from 1 species
CUCAACCGCAAGGAGGGGGAUGCCUAAGGCAGGGCUAGUGACUGGGGUGAAGUCGUAACAAGGUAGCCGUACCGGAAGGUGUGGCUGGAUCACCUCCUUAAAGGGAGACCUAAUUCGGGUAUGGGACGAAAAAAAAGUAGUCGCUACCAAGAAUCAAUCCCAAAAGGUCGGAGCGAGGCGAAAUUGGCUUUCAAACUAGGUUCUGGGUUCACACAAGACCUGAAUCAGGAAUAAGGGCUAUUAGCUCAGGUGGUUAGAGCGCACCCCUGAUAAGGGUGAGGUCCCUGGUUCGAGUCCAGGAUGGCCCACCUGUACAGGUGGCAAAAACAAAGAAGCGAGGAAUCAGCACCUUAUCUUAUUUAUAUAGUAAGAGAGAAUGCUGGCUCUGAGUUCAGAGUCCAGAGGAACCUUGAAAACUGCAUAGAGCUAGGUGAAAAAGCCAAAAAAGAAGACCGCAAGGUCAAGCUAAUAAGGGCUAACGGUG